rnacentral:rRNA from 1 species
AACGAACGCUGGCGGCAUGCCUAACACAUGCAAGUCGAACGAGACCUUCGGGUCUAGUGGCGCACGGGUGCGUAACGCGUGGGAACCUGCCCUUAGGUUCGGAAUAACUCCCCGAAAGGGGUGCUAAUACCGGAUAAUGUCUUCGGACCAAAGAUUUAUCGCCUUUGGAUGGGCCCGCGUUGGAUUAGCUAGUUGGUAGGGUAAAAGCCUACCAAGGCGACGUUACAUAGCUGGUCUGAGAGGAUGAUCAGCCACACUGGGACUGAGACACGGCCCAGACUCCUACGGGAGGGAGCAGUGGGGAAUAUUGGACAAUGGGCGAUAGCCUGAUCCAGCAAGGCCGCGUGAGUGAUGAAGGCCUUAGGGUUGUACAGCUCUUUUACCCGGGAUGAUAAUGACAGUACCGGGAGAAUAAGCUCCGGCUAACUCCGUG